rnacentral:rRNA from 1 species
AUGCAAGUCGAGGGGUAACAUAGAUUGCUUGCAAUCUGAUGACGACCGGCGCACGGGUGCGUAACGCGUAUACAAUUUGCCUUAUACAGGGGGAUAGCCUUUAGAAAUGAAGAUUAAUACCCCAUGGUUCCUGAUAUCCGCAUGGAUUGUCAGGGUAAAGAUUUAUCGGUAUAAGAUGAGUAUGCGUCCUAUUAGCUAGGUGGUAAGGUAAUGGCUUACCAUGGCUACGAUAGGUAGGGGUCCUGAGAGGGAGAUCCCCCACACUGGUACUGAGACACGGACCAGACUCCUACGGGAGGCAGCAGUGAGGAAUAUUGGACAAUGGAGGCAACUCUGAUCCAGCCAUGCCGCGUGCAGGAAGACUGCCCUAUGGGUUGUAAACUGCUUUUAUAUAGGAAGAACCACUCUCACGUGUUGGGAGCUUGACGGUACUAUAUGAAUAAGCACCGGCUAACUCCGUGCCAGCAGCCGCGGUAAUACGGAGGGUGCAAGCGUUAUCCGGAAUUAUUGGGUUUAAAGGGUCCGCAGGCGGUCAAUUAAGUCAGAGGUGAAAUCCCAUCGCUUAACGAUGGAACUGCCUUUGAUACUGGUUGACUUGAGUUAUACUGAAGUAAGUAGAAUGUGUAGUGUAGCGGUGAAGUGCAUAGAUAUUACACAGAAUACCGAUUGCGAAGGCAGCUUACUAAGUAUUGACUG